rnacentral:lncRNA from 1 species
CACGACUAAAAACCUCAUUUUAUCACAAGUCGACGAUUAUAGACCAACCACACAUUUAAAUAGAUCAAAUAUUUUACUCAUCCUCUCUACUUCGAGGAAUGAAUCAUUUUCUUCAGUGUUGUUGACGACGAGUCCACCUUAAGGUAACCUGAUGUUACCGCUCCAUACCUUGGCAAGAAUGCUGUUGAGUGAUGAGAAGUCCUGAUCUACCACAACCUUGGCUUACAAGCAUUGAAAAGGCUCGGUGACAGCCAAGGAGCAGAGACACUGAAAGUUAUUAGAAGAAAGAAGGAAAGAAUGAUCGUAAUGAUUAUUUGAUGACAAGAAAUUGCUAAGGUGACUAUGUCACUGAUAUUUACAAGAAUGACACCUGGAGAAGUAGCUUUCAGACUGGGGUGGAAAUCCAUUUUCUAGCUAAGAAUGGAUUCAGUACAGGAUAUAAGACCUUUUGUGUGUAAUGAAUGUGGUUCCAGCUUUAAUAAGAAGUGGAACCUGAAGGUCCACAUGGAAUCACACAGUGAUCCCUUUGAAUGUGAAGUGUGCCACUUAAAAUUCAAGUUCCGGCACAAGCUGCGAUCACACAUGGGGCGCCACACUGGGAUCAUAAAGUACAACUG